AAAAGCCUCUGCUCUGUGAUAUUCUGCAUUUCCAGACUUCUGUCAAUUUCCUCCGAUAACUCUCUCUCUCUCUCUCGCUAUCGCUCUCUUCCUAAUUUGAUCCGACCUAGACUAUGUUCAAAUUUCGUAAUCUGUUAUUCAUCUUCUUGAUUUUGAUCUCAUUGGUUGUUCGGGAAUCAACUUGUUCGUAUGCUGGUUCGGCUAGCUCCACCGUAGAUCCUAGUAAAGUGAAGCAGAUUUCAUGGAAACCGAGAGCUUUUGUAUAUGAAGGUUUUCUCACGGACCUAGAAUGUGACCACCUGGUUUCUAUAGCGAGAUCCGAGCUAAAGAGAUCCGAGGUUGCUGAUAAUGAUUCAGGAAAGAGCAAGCUCAGUACUGUGCGAACGAGUUCAGGAAUGUUCAUUUCUAAAAGCAAGGAUCCAAUUGUUUCUGGCAUAGAGGACAAAAUUUCUGCAUGGACUUUUCUUCCAAAAGAAAAUGGGGAGGAUAUUCAGGUACUGAGAUAUGAGCAUGGAGAGAAAUAUGAGUCACAUUAUGAUUACUUUGUUGACAAGGUAAAUAUUGCCUGGGGAGGACAUCGUUUAGCUACAGUUCUUAUGUAUCUCUCUAAUGUGACCAAAGGCGGUGAAACAGUAUUCCCCUUGGCAGAGAAAUCUGCCCAUCGGAGAGCUUAUGAAACAGACGAGGAUCUCUCAGAGUGUGCAAGGAAAGGAAUUGCAGUGAAACCGAAGAAAGGCGAUGCCCUUCUUUUCUUUAGUCUUGAACCAAAUGCUAUCCCAGACACGAACAGUCUCCAUGGAGGUUGCCCUGUCCUUGAAGGAGAAAAAUGGUCAGCAACAAAGUGGAUUCACGUCGACUCUUUCAGCAAAAACUUAGGAAACAUUGGGAAUUGUACUGAUCUAAAUGAAAGUUGUGAGAGAUGGGCUGCCUUAGGGGAAUGCACCAAAAACCCAGAAUAUAUGGUCGGAUCUCCAGAAAUGCCUGGCUACUGUAGGCGGAGUUGCAGGAUCUGUUGAUUUGAUCUCAAUGAUACACUCGAAAUUUCGAUACCUUUAGGAGUUAUUUGUGGAAUGGAAAGCAGUACAACAUUUAUCGUGAAGCUAUCCUGAAGCACGGAUGGAUGAGGCAGUAGCCGUUGGGUAAUUAUGAUGAGAUGACAUAAAAGUGUAUUUAUUCGAUAUGAAGGUGAUUAGGAUGAGAAUGAAAGUUCGUAUAUUGGGGGACAGUUGAGAGGAAUCAUUGUGCCUCAUACAUUGAAGUAUGAAGAACUUAAAUCUCGCAUUUACAGAGUUACAAAUGUCAGUUCUUCAGAGUUUGAUCUUGUACUAAAAGUUAAAUAUAAGCUUGAAUUUGAAGCCCCUCCACAAUGUAUAAUGAAUAAUGGUGAUGUUCGCUUCCUUCUUUUACGAGAAGAGCUUAGUAGACUUUAGAUAGCUGUAACGUUGAAGACUAAUUAGGAUGAAAAUAUUGGAAUGAGGUUUGGAAAUGCGAGUUAUGAUGAUACGGCUGUGGACAGACAAUACGAGGAAUCAUAUCAGUUUCUUCGGGAAGAUGAUAUUCUAUUGUCUACCAACACUGUACCAUCAACAUUCGAUUAUAUGGAUCGUGGUCCUUCAGUGGAUGUGAAUGAGCAACCAGCAGGAUUGAAUGAAAUGGAUCGUGAUCAUGGAGAUAUGCGUCGUUCUAUAGCAGUUUCAGUAGUUCCACCAUUUGUGGCUUCAAGUCAUAAAACAGAGUUGAUUAUGCCUGGCACCUCUUUAUCUGGGACAGAAGACGUUGAAGUUGGUCAACUAUUUUUGAGCAAAGGACUUGAAAAUGAGAUUAUCUAUUCUGUUCAUCAACAAAAAUUUUGAAUUUAAGGUCGGGAAAUCAACCAAAUCUCUGUUCACUGUCAAAUGUAUUAGGGAGACAUGUAAGUGGAGUUUUCAUGCAGUCAAAAUGGAAGGGUCUGAUAUAUUCAAGAUCACAAAGUACUGCAGUUCGCACACAUGUUCCAUUGGAAUUUUGAAUCACUACCAUAGAUAAGCAACUGCUACGGUUGUUGGUCAGUUCAUUAAAGAUAAGUUCACGGGAAUAGGACGUAUUUAUAAACCUUGUUAUCGUUGAGGAUACGAGGAGAGAUUAUGGUGUGAACAUAAGUUAUGAUAAAGUGUGACGUGCCAGGGAAGUUGCAUAUGAUCUUACUAGAGGUACUCCAGAAUACUCAUAUUCCAUAUUACAUGUUUAUGGAGAAACGCUAAAAAUAAAAAAUCCAGGUACAAUUUUUUAGAUCGAACUUGAAGAUGAGGUGCAUUUUAAGUAUAUGUUUAUGAUAUUAGAGCCUUGUGUUAGAGGUUUCACAAGCUGUCGGUCUUGUAUUAUUGUUGAUGGGUCGCACUUAAAAGGAAAAUUCAAAGGCACCAUGUUAGUUGUAGUUUCUAUAGACGGGAACAAUCAAUUAUACCCACUAGCAUAUGCAAUAGUGGACAAUGAAACCGAUCGAUCAUGGAAAUGGUUUAUGUCAAACUUGAAAUGCAGUAUCGGAGAACCCGAUAAUCUGGUGUUAGUGUUUGAUCGGAUGGUAUCUAUUGAUAAUGCUAUUUGUGCAUUUUUUCCCACGGCAUUUCAUGGAUUGUACACAUGGCAUAUAAAACAAAAUCUGGUUACAAACUCUAAGGAUAGCACGAUUGCUAGGAUAUUUAAAGGUGCAGCAAGAGCAUUUCGCAUGAUAGAGUUCCAGACAAAAUUGGACGAACUUCGUAGUUUUAGAGAUGGUGUUGUCACGAAAUAUUUGGAAGACAUCGGUCUUCAAAGGUGGGCACAAGUUUACCAAAUAGAACGAAGAUAUGAUAACAUGACAACCAAUGGUGCAUAGUAUUUCAAUUCGUUAACUAAAGAGUAUUGAUUAUUGCCCAUAGUAUGCUUGAUUGAACAUGUUAGAGGAAUGCUCUAAUUGUGGUUCUACGAACGGAGGAAUUACUGGGCAUUUCGAAUGACAUUGCACUCUGACUACUAUGAAACCCGAUUGGCAAGUGAGGCCGAUAAGGGCAGACAAUAUCAGGUGGAGCUUAUUGAUUGUUAUCGGGUACACGUGCGAGAUAAUCGAUUGGACGGUAUUGUCAGUCUUCACACGAAGGAAUGCACGUGUAAGGAAUUCGACUCACUUGGUAUCCCGUGUUCGCAUGCAAUUGUUGCUGUCAAGGAACAAAAUAUACCCAUCCACAGUCUUUGCAGUCGAUUUUAUACAAUGGACUAUCUAAUGACUGCGUAUGUGGAGCCUAUAAAUUCAUUUGGCCACAUAUCUGAAUGGAAAAGACCUCAUAGAUAUGUAGAAAAGAUUAUCCUUCCUCUGAAGUUUGUGCCACAAGUCGGGCGACGGAGAGUGAGAAGAAUAUCAUCUAGAGGAGAAUUUCGCAGACAAAUGAAAUGUGGUCGGUGUGGGAAUUAUGGGCAUAAUCGCCAAAAUUGUACCAAACUACUUACAACCGUGCGACGUGCUGAAAAUGCAGAGACUGUGACACAAACAUCUCUCAUCUAGUUUAGUUUGUAACUAGUAACAUUUCAUUUGUUAUAAAUAUCAUUGAUCAAUUUUUCAUACGUCAUACUUGUAACAUGCUUGUAACAUACUUCAUACCUUUUCAUACUUCAUACUUGUAACACUUCAUCUUUCAUGCUUUCAUCUUGUAAACAAAAAACAAUAACAAGUUAGAGUAUUUCUAUAAUAGCAAUCUUCAUACUCUCUCAAUCUUCAUACUUGUAACAAAAAA